rnacentral:ncRNA from 2 species
AUUCAUCUUCGGGGUAGGGUGCAAUUCCCAACCGGCAGUAAUUAAAGCCUGCGACCCAUUUAUUUUCAUUUAAAUAAAUGGCUGAUCUAGUGCAAAUCUAGAGCCGACAGUAAAGUCUGGAUGGGAGAAGAUGGAG